rnacentral:lncRNA from 1 species
UGGGGUCCUUCAGCAGUAGUGCAAUGAGGAGCAUGCACACGAGAGAUUCUAUUUUCCUUGGAUGGCUUUCUUGAGCCUUGGAAAUCUGGCUUACCAGGAAUUCUAGGCUUCUGUUGUCCCUUGCUUCCUAUCUACCAAAAGCACAGUGAUGCCUUUCUUUUUACUCACAUUUGAUGACAUCCAUAGUGAGAAACAGCAGUUCCACUGUCCAACACCAGGAAAUGCUCUGACUGCUUUACCACUCCAGCUAAUACUUACAGAGGUGUAGCCUAUUCCCACUUGUACUGGGGCUUUAGAAUCCAACUCCUUACAUUCCUAAGAUUAAAAGACAUCUUGUGCUAUUUUAUGUUCUGAGAAGGAUUGAUUACCACAAAGAUAGAUCUAUAGAGAAUGUGAGUGGAAACUACACGAGCUGCUAAUGGGACAAGGCAUUUAAGAAUCAUCCAAGUUCUUUCUCUUCUUGCUGGCUGGAGCUAAGAAUUGAAGAACAAAUACCAUCAAAGAGAUUCAAUACAAAUGUCCAAUUUUGAGAUAAGGGAUGGAUAACCAUAGUGCAUGCCCUCAGACCUUUUAAUCUUUAUGAAACAUUUGAAGACCUCGGGAAAGGACAAUACCCCUGGUUCUAUACAGAUGCUGUCAUGAAUUCAUCUUAUAUCAGUUUCAUAAACCCGAGAAAACAAACUGGAGAGAAGGCAACACAUAUUUCAUUUUAGCUGUGAGCAACUUCCAUUGUGAAUCAAGAAUUCAUUCAAAAUACAUCUGGUAGGAAGUUUUGCUUUUAACAGAAUGGCAACAUCUAACCUCAUCACACAGAAUCCAUGUAGUCAAAUACCAUUGAGGAUAGUUGAGUGGUCACUAUGUUGUAAUAUCAGACAAAGAUGACAGUGAAUCUGCAAAAGAAGAAAGCAUUCUGAGAACCACUGAUUCCAGAGCAGGUGAAGAUGGAGUUUCGCUCUUUUUGCCCAGGCUGGAGUACAAUGGGGUGAUCUCAGCUCACUUUGGCCUGCACUCCAGUUUCAAGCUAUUCUCCUGCCUCAGCCUCUGAGUAGCUGGAAUUACAGGUGCGCCACGAUGCCCGGGUAAUCUUUUGUAGUUUUAGUAGAGACGGGGUUUCGCCACGUUGGCCAGAGUGGUCUCGAACUCCUGACCUCAGGUGAUACGCCCACCUCUGCCUCCCAAAGUGCUGGGAUUACAGGUGUGAGCCACCGAGUCUGGCCGUUUUUAGAUUCUUUAAGGUCGCCACGAACAUUGAAUCAGCAAAUACUGUACUACUGUUCCUAAGGGAAAUGCAGGGUUAGGAUCUUUAGAGUCUCUAGUCAUAUAUUGGUGAAGUGAAACACCAUUUGUCGUGUAUACAUUCCUUUGCCUAGCGUCCAUGUAAAACAAACCACUGUCAUCAGCAUUGAAAAUCUGCUCUUUUAUAAAACCCUUUCUUUGUAUACAUCUCACAGGUAUUUAAAAAAUUCUUCCACAUCCUCUUGAUCUGCAGAACCUCCCUCACCUGCAAGUUAACAUUUUUCAUGCGAUAUCACCUUUUGAAACAUGGAAGGCAGCCAGUACUAGCCAGAGUGUUUAACAUGACAAUAAAUUUCUUUGCCUUUCAGCCUCCAGACAAUUCUGUCCACUAUACUUUUUUGAAAUCAGUUGUUGUCUCAUGAAUCCACAAACGUAGCUGCUUUUCCAUCUUUCAUGUACCGUGGUGUUACUUUGACACAUUCUGGAGCAGCCUUAUAUGCAGAUCCAUGAAUUUCCUUUUCCUUUUCUGAAUGUAAGGCAUUGUUGAUUCAUUAACAUUGAACUCGUGGCCAACAGCACUGUAAUUCAUGCCUGAGCAAUGCUUAUCUAACACAAGUAUUUUCUCCAUAAGGCACAUCACAUCUUUCUUGAACUUGGAAACACCAGACACCACAUUAGCUUUACUUGAAGGGUCAUUUAAAGUGGCAAAGUUGCAAAGAAAAAGCACAAAAAAUGCAAAUAUGUGAUAGCAAAUAGAUUGUGAAAAGUUUGCUUUUCACAAUCUUACACUUCAAAAGUUGAAGAAGAAGACGGAGCACUGUCUCAUUAGACUUGAACUGGGAAUAUGUGAGUUGGGUGAUUUAAUUUUUUUGUCAGUUCUGCAGAUGUAUGGAAAUGACUGCAAAAGCAUCAAGAAUGUCACUUUUAGAGGUUCAAAUACAUUUUAGCGAGUAGGCAAAUUUGCAUAUACAGAAUCUGCAAAUUAUAAGGAUCAACUUUAUUUUGCUGUUCUUUUACAAUUUGGGGAUAUUUUAUAAAAUUUUAUAAAGU